AGCUUUGCGCAGUGGCCGUAUCGUAGCCAAUGAGGUUUAUCCGAGGCGCGAUUAUUGCUAAUUGAAAAUGUAUAUAAAACUUUAAACACAUCUAAAUGUCUGCGGCAGACAUUCUGAAGCAUCCAUGAAAUACAUUCAAUUUAUUGU